rnacentral:rRNA from 1 species
UUAUAUUCUGUAGCAAGGUUAACCGCAUAGGGGAGCCGGAGGGAAACCGAGUCUUAAUUGGGCGUUAAGUUGCAGGGUAUAGACCCGAAACCCGGUGAUCUAGCCAUGGGCAGGUUGAAGGUUGGGUAACACUAACUGGAGGACCGAACCGACUAAUGUUGAAAAAUUAGCGGAUGACCUGUGGCUGGGGGUGAAAGGCCAAUCAAACCGGGAGAUAGCUGGUUCUCCCCGAAAGCUAUUUAGGUAGCGCCUCGUGAAUUCAUCUCCGGGGGUAGAGCACUGUUUCGGCUAGGGGGCCAUCCCGGCUUACCAACCCGAUGCAAACUGCGAAUACCGGAGAAUGUUAUCACGGGAGACACACGGCGGGUGCUAACGUCCGUCGUGAAGAGGGAAACAACCCAGACCGCCAGCUAAGGUCCCAAAGUCAUGGUUAAGUGGGAAACGAUGUGGGAAGGCCCAGACAGCCAGGAUGUUGGCUUAGAAGCAGCCAUCAUUUAAAGAAAGCGUAAUAGCUCACUGGUCGAGUCGGCCUGCGCGGAAGAUGUAACGGGGCUAAACCAUGCACCGAAGCUGCGGCAGCGACGCUUAUGCGUUGUUGGGUAGGGGAGCGUUCUGUAAGCCUGCGAAGGUGGCCUGUGAGGGUUGCUGGAGGUAUCAGAAGUGCGAAUGCUGACAUAAGUAACGAUAAAGCGGGUGAAAAGCCCGCUCGCCGGAAGACCAAGGGUUCCUGUCCAACGUUAAUCGGGGCAGGGUGAGUCGACCCCUAAGGCGAGGCCGAAAGGCGUAGUCGAUGGGAAACGGGUUAAUAUUCCCGUACUUGGUGUUACUGCGAAGGGGGGACGGAGAAGGCUAUGUUGGCCGGGCGACGGUUGUCCCGGUUUAAGCGUGUAGGUGUGUGUUCCAGGUAAAUCCGGUUCACUUUAACACUGAGGCGUGACGACGAGGCACUACGGUGCUGAAGCAACAAAUGCCCUGCUUCCAGGAAAAGCCUCUAAGCAUCAGGUAACAUCAAAUCGUACCCCAAACCGACACAGGUGGUCAGGUAGAGAAUACCAAGGCGCUUGAGAGAACUCGGGUGAAGGAACUAGGCAAAAUGGUGCCGUAACUUCGGGAGAAGGCACGCUGACAC